rnacentral:lncRNA from 1 species
UUUAAGGUGUAUGAAGUUUCAUAUUUGAUUUUUUAAGCAGAAGCGGGGCGAUGGAGAUUCCAUUUAACUUAGGUUAAUCUAAGCCAAAAGCAGACCUACGUUAGGAUAACCCUUAUUUGAAACACUUUGGUAGUGCUCUCGGAUCGGAAUCCAUAAAUCAGAGCACAUGGAGCCAUCCUCUUAUCUUUCUGCCAAGAGAAUUAUGGUAGACUAAUCGAUUAUUUAUAUCAGUUAAUGAACGAGCCCAAUGCAAAAAAAUGCAUGUUGGGUCUUUGAAAAAGUCCGAAUCAUUUUGAUAAUAAUCAGUUUGAUCUGUUUUACCGAGAAGGUCUAUGGUUCGAGUCCGUAUAGCCCUAAACAAAAAUAAAGAAAAUUCAAAUCAAAAUUAAAAUAAAUAAAAAUGAAAAAAUUUUAAAUAAAAAUAUAAAUAAAAAAUAAAAAUUUCUAAUAGAAUUUAGAAAUUCUAAAUAAAAAAAUAAAA